GGACUAAACAAGAUUAGAGGGUUAGCAUUGAAUGUUGCUUCUGUGGAGACUAAUAUUAUAUACUUUGAUAUCAACGAAGGCUCGAACAUGACGGUGCAGAAACUGUGCAGAACCUGGAAGAACAUGGAAUACUAGUCAUGCCGGAGACCUCAACCAGAGUUAGACUGGUUGUUCACCAUCAGAUCUCAGAAAACGAUGUUCAUUACGCGCUGUCAUGCUUUCAGGUAAUCCAUAUCCCGUUGUCCAUUUCUUUCCCACGGUUUCUC